rnacentral:lncRNA from 1 species
AUUUUUUUUUUUGCUAUGUAGGAGUGACGGUAAAAUUUUCUCUUAAAGGCGAUGAAUCAUUUAUCGUGUUCAGCAUUUCUAAUUUUUCAAAAAAACGGUGAAUUAUUCAUCGUCUUUUUUUUUUUCUUGUUCCUUUCUAUUUUCAAUAUAAUUCUAACAACCAAACAGAAAUAUCAAUAAAUCACGUACAAUCUUAACACCAAAAAAAAAUCCUAAUAAUCUCUCUAUACAAUCUUAACAAUAAAACAAAAAUUCUAAUAAUCUACAUACAAUUCUAACAAUUUCACUUUUUUUUAUUUCUCGUAUAUAAUCCUAACAACCAUAUAAAAAUUUCAACAAAUCACAUACGGUGAAUAAUUCAUUGUUUUUGUAAAAAAUUAGAAAGACGGUGAAUGAUUUACCACCGCUUUAAAAAAAAAAAUCUAACCCUAAUUUUAACAUAGCAAAAGAAGGAUUAUUUAGUCAAAUAUUUUU